rnacentral:rRNA from 1 species
CUCAAAUUUGAAAUCUGGCCCUCGGGUCCGAAUUGUAAUUUGUAGAGGAUGAUUUUGGUGCGGUAUCUUCCGAGUUCCUUGGAACAGGACGCCUUAGAGGGUGAGAGCCCCGUACGGUUGAACGCCUAGCCUCUGUAAAUCUCCUUCGACGAGUCGAGUAGUUUGGGAAUGCUGCUCUAAAUGGGAGGUAAAUUUCUUCUAAAGCUAAAUAUUGGCCAGAGACCGAUAGCGCACAAGUAGAGUGAUCGAAAGAUGAAAAGCACUUUGAAAAGAGGGUUAAAUAGCACGUGAAAUUGUUGAAAGGGAAGGAUUUGUGACCAGACUUUUUCUGGGCGGAUCAUCCGGGGUUCUCUCCGGUGCACUUUGCCCAGUAAAGGCCAGCAUCGAUUUUCGGCGGCGGAUAAAAGCAGUGGGAAUGUGGCUCUCUACGGGGAGUGUUAUAGCCCAUUGUAUAAUACGCUGCUGGGGAUCGAGGUACGCGCUUCUGCAAGGAUGCUGGCGUAAUGGUUAUCAAUCACCCGUCUUGAAACACGGACCAAGGAGUCGAACAUUUAUGCGAGUGUUUGGGUGUUAAACCCUCACGCGUAAUGAAAGUGAACGGAGGUGAGAGCCCUUACGGGUGCAUCAUCGACCGAUCCUGAAGUUUUCGGAUGGAUUUGAGUAAGAGCAUAACUGUUCGGACCCGAAAGAUGGUGAACUAUGCGUGGAUAGGGUGAAGCCAGAGGAAACUCUGGUGGAGGCUCGCAGCGGUUCUGACGUGCAAAUCGAUCGUCAAAUCUGCGCAUGGGGG